rnacentral:tRNA from 4 species
GCUCUUCUAGUAUACUUAUUACAAUAGACUUCCAAUCUUUAAAAUCUGGCAAGACCCCAGAGAAGAGCA